rnacentral:rRNA from 1 species
UUUACCCCGCUGAACUUAAGCAUAUCAAUAAGCGGAGGAAAAGAAACCAACAGGGAUUGCCUCAGUAACGGCGAGUGAAGCGGCAACAGCUCAAAUUUUAAAGCCGGCGCCCUCAGCACCCGCGUUGUAAUUUGGAGAGGCAUCUUCGGUUUGGGCGCCAGCCUAUGUUCCUUGGAACAGGACGUCACAGAGGGUGAGAAUCCCGUGCCUGGCUGGCUGUCCCUCUCCAUGUGAAGCGCCUUCUACGAGUCGAGUUGUUUGGGAAUGCAGCUCAAAAUGGGUGGUAAAUUCCAUCUAAAGCUAAAUAUUGGCGGGAGACCGAUAGCGCACAAGUAGAGUGAUCGAAAGAUGAAAAGCACUUUGAAAAUAGAGUUAAAAAGUACGUGAAAUUGUUGAAAGGGAAGCGCUUGAGACCAGACUCGGCCGGAGGUGAUCAGCCGUCCUUUUGGGUGGUGCACUUGUCUCCGGUCGGGCCAGCAUCGGUUGAGACGGCGGGACAAAGGUCUCAGGAAUGUGGCUCCCCUCGGGGAGUGUUAUAGCCUGGGAUGCAAUGCCGUCAGACUUGACCGAGGACCGCGCCAUUGUGCUAGGAUGCUGGCGUAAUGGUCUUCAGCGACCCGUCUUGAAACACGGACCAAGGAGUCUAACAUCUAUGCGAGUGUUUGGGUGUCAAACCCUUGCGCGUAAUGAAAGUGAACGGAGGUGGGAACCCCCUCGCGGGGCGCACCAUCGACCGGUCCUGAUGUUUUCGGAAGGAUCUGAGUAGGAGCAUAGCUGUUGGGACCCGAAAGAUGGUGAACUAUGCCUGAAUAGGGUGAAGCCAGAGGAAACUCUGGUGGAGGCUCGCAGCGGUUCUGACGUGCAAAUCGAUCGUCAAAUUUGGGUAUAGGGGCGAAAGACUAAUCGAACCAUCUAGUAGCUGGUUCCUGCCGAAGUUUCCCUCAAGAUAAAA